rnacentral:misc_RNA from 1 species
AAAAAAAAAAAAAAAGGAAAAAUCUGUCAGCCUAAAGAAGUUUGAAAAACUGGAUCCCAUUAAAGCUUCAAGCUUAAUGAUGAGGUAGAAGUGUCAUGAAUUAGUGUCUGAGGAAGGUGACAUCUUUGUCUAUUACUUCUGCUACCAGAACCUGAGGAGCAGGGUGUCAAUGAAGGAGAAGGUAGGGCAGAAGAAGUACAUAAUAACCUACUUGAAUGGCUUCUCAAUUUCUUCUUAUCUCCCUCUUGCCCGUUAGUUUGUGAUUUAACUUGACGAACUCUGGUUUCAUUCAAUUCCGCAGGCAGAACACAGUUGCAAAGAAAACCUAAACGAGC